rnacentral:tRNA from 1 species
GGGUCUAUAGCUCAGACGGUUAGAGCGCUGCCCUGAUAAGGCAGAGGUCGGUGGUUCAAGUCCACCUAGACCCACCA